AUUUCGCUCUCAGCCGAGCGGUUGAGGCUGUGAGGCGUGCGCACUGGAGAGCAAGUCAAGUCGUGCUGGACCGGACUGACGCGCCAAAUCCUCGCAACUCAAACAAGAGCUGCUGACGGUUUUGGAGAAUAAAAUCAUGUCCAUGCGUGAUGAUGGCAUGUGCUCGUCUGCAUAGCUGACCUCGGAUCUCUAAAGUUGUAUUUUGAAAGACUACAAGGCAUGGCUUUUCCUUUGACGUGCUUCUUUCUGUCUUGUUACAGCUUAUGCGGCGCUUGGGGAGCGCAGCACACUGAGAGCAGCAUCUAUUUGGAUAACAUCACGCGCAUAUUGGAUAGACUACUGGACGGCUAUGACAACAGGCUGCGACCUGGAUUUGGAGGUCCAGUGACAGAAGUCAAAACGGACAUCUUUGUCACCAGCUUUGGACCGGUUUCAGAUGUGGAGAUGGAAUACACCAUGGAUGUGUUCUUCCGGCAAACGUGGAUCGACGAGCGCUUGAAAUUCGAGGGCCCCAUCGAGAUACUAAGACUCAAUAACCUCAUGGUCAGCAAGAUCUGGACGCCAGACACGUUUUUCCGUAACGGCAAGAGGUCCAUCUCUCACAACAUGACCACCCCCAACAAGCUGUUCCGCAUCAUGCAGAACGGAACCAUCCUCUACACCAUGAGAUUAACUAUAAAUGCAGAGUGCCCCAUGCGCUUGAUGAACUUCCCAAUGGACGGACACGCAUGCCCACUCAAGUUUGGGAGCUAUGCUUACCCUGUCAGUGAGAUCAUGUACACGUGGAAGAAAGGUCCUCUGUCUUCCGUUGAGGUGCCGCAGGAGUCAUCCAGUCUCUUGCAGUAUGACCUCAUCGGUCAGAGAGUGUCAAGUGAGAGGCUCAAGUCCAAUACAGGGGAAUACGUCAUCAUGACCGUCCACUUCCACCUGCAGAGAAAAAUGGGCUUUUUCUUGAUCCAGACGUACAUUCCCUGCAUCAUGACCGUCAUCCUGGCUCAAGUCUCCUUCUGGAUUAACAAGGAGUCAGUUCCAGCUCGGACUGUGUUUGGUAUCACCACCGUGCUGACCAUGACCACGCUCAGCAUCAGCGCUCGCCACUCCCUCCCCAAAGUCUCCUACGCCACAGCCAUGGAUUGGUUCAUCGCCGUUUGCUUCGCCUUCGUCUUCUCCGCCCUCAUCGAGUUUGCGGCCGUCAAUUACUUCUCCACGCUGCAAGCUAAUCGGGAGCUACGCAAGGCGGCGGCCAUGAAGGCGGCGGCUCAAGAGGCCGCAGCUGCGGCUGCCACCCCGGCUGCCAGCACGGGAAAUGAUGGAGAGGUCUCCUCAGCGGACGCCAGCAACGUGUUGAAGAAGAGGAUGAAUUCGGCGCCCCUUUUCGAACGGCCGGCCAAAACCUUCCCCAACCCGCCCGUCAGCGCUCAGGCCUUCCUGCAGCAAGGCUCCGCCGUGCCGGCUAACAACGUCCUGACCGGCACGAGUAUCAUCGACAAAUACUCUCGCAUUCUCUUCCCGCUUUCCUUCGGCGCCUUCAACUUGGUCUACUGGAUCGUGUACCUCACCAAGGACACCAUGGAGAUGACCAGGGACACCGUCUGAAUGCGGGGAAGGGCAACAUCACACAGAUGCAACUCCAUAGACACACAUACAAGAGUGUGACCUCACCAUUCAUUGUGUGUGUGUGUGUGAGUGAUGGCAUGGCGAGAAAGUCUCUUAUAAUGCAUUGUACGUCCCUUUUUAAGUUUACUUUCAAACCACAACAAAAACAAAGUGUCUUUAUAGUCAAUGCCAAUUUAAGCCUGAGAUGGGACUAUUGAUGAUGUUGAAUGAUAGCAAGGCGGAGGAGCAGCAGGCUCUGCUUAACUUUUGUCAUGCAUGUCCACACUCGGUUCAUGAAAUUCUGCACACGUUCAUCAUCGCAUAUUCAUUUUCUCUUGUCCUUUAUUUAUUUAGUCAUUUAAUUUUUCGAUGGAAUGAGUGUACUCCACGUAAUGGGCUGACUUAUCCUCUCCAAUUAUCACUUCAAACUCAAUCACAUCAUUUCCCCCGGUGGCUGGCAGCAAAGAGGACAGGAGGGAAGAUCUUUAAAACAAAACAUUUUCAAGUGGCGUGCUUCCACGGCACAAAUGUUGAACAUUUGGGCUUUUCAUUUGCAAAAUGGAAAAGGCAGAACCUGGAUUUAACUCAUUAAACAGGCAUGCAUUGGGCAAAUACUGCAGGGCAGGGUGUUUAACACCAACUAAUGCAAAUGAGCGCUGAUUUAUAUAUGUAUAAAAAAAAUAUAACAAUCAACACACACCAUUACACACAUAUGCACACACACGAAUAUAGUCGCAAGAUUGUUAUAUAUACACAGUUAUGGUUAAAAAAAAAAUAAAAAAAAAUAGUAUUACCUGAGUAGAGUGAAUGAAUAGGUUUUCCUAUCUGUAUAUUGAUUUCUACCUGACGAUGCAUGCAUGUAAGUCCAAUUGGGAAAGUGUGGGCAUGUGCGUUGUCUAACCCCAACCCUAACUGUAACCCUGCUAAUAAAUGGUGAAACAAAACCAAGCCACGGUAAAUGCAUGCAGUCAUUUUGGGGGGGCUGGAAGUCUGAUUAUAAAGAGUUCUAUAAAAUACCUUAAAAGAAAAA